AUGGCCGGUGUCGACGCGCUCGCCGGUCGGCACCCCGGGCUCUCGCUCCGGCACACGAGCAGGAACCCGCGCCCGCCCCCCGCGCCUCUCAGCCCCGGGCGCGCGCACGCGCACACACGCGCACACACCGCGCGCGGCCCAGCGCUUGCUGGUUGCUGGAAAACGGGUUCCCUCUUUAUUUCUGGCGCCUUCAAACACAGAUCUGAGGAGAACAGGGAGACCGUUUCUGUGCAGGGAUGCAAGAUUGCAUUUUCAGCCGAGCGGUUUGUGCGUGAUUGUCAUGAACUACGGCAGAUAAUGAAGACAGACCCCAGACCAUCAGAUCUCACCGUGUCCUGUUCUGAAAAUGGGAUUAAUAAAAGAAAAACAAGAACAGAAUGGAUUCAUUGAGAUAGUCAACAACCACCACACCACUAGAGGAGCAUAGCCGGAUUAAAACGCCUUAUCUGUGUUGUUCCCUCUAAAUUAUCUUCACCUUUCUAAGCAGUAAGCAAAUAAAUAAAUAAAACCUUAAAAUAGUACUUAAGAUUUCAUUUCUAAUACUGAGCUUACAAUGUUAAGAAUGUAAACACGUCUAGCAAGAAUAUAGGUAAAAACUAGCUACAGGGAAUAAUCAGUCUUUUAGUUACAGGGAAUAAUUUGUCUUUUAAUAGUGGAGGAACCCAGGAACCAAUAGUAGGAACCAGAAUUUCCCUGUGGGGUUUAGGUUAUCUUACUAUUUUGGAAAAAAUGAAGAAAAAAAAGACCAGGAACUACAACUUUUUAAAAAUUCUCUAAAGGCACCACACCCUGUGUGACAUUAAAAAAAAAAAGAAAAAAGAAAGGAUUACAGAAUUUGGCAAACUACAUUAUAUCCUGAAACCUA